UACGUAGGGGCCAAGCGUUGUCCGGAAUUAUUGGGCGUAAAGCGCGCGCAGGCGGUCUCUUAAGUCUGAUGUGAAAGCCCACGGCUCAACCGUGGAGGGUCAUUGGAAACUGGGGGACUUGAGUGUAGGAGAGGAAAGUGGAAUUCCACGUGUAGCGGUGAAAUGCGUAGAUAUGUGGAGGAACACCAGUGGCGAAGGCGACUUUCUGGCCUACAACUGACGCUGAGGCGCGAAAGCGUGGGGAGCAAACAGG
rnacentral:rRNA from 1 species